rnacentral:rRNA from 1 species
UUUACUUUUGGAGCGGUUAGUGGCGGACUGGUGAGUAACACGUAAGCAACCUGCCUAUCAGAGGGGAACAACAGUUAGAAAUGACUGCUAAUACCGCAUAUGCCAUGAAUAUCACAUGAUAUAAAUGGGAAAGGAGCAAUCCGCUGAUAGAUGGGCUUGCGUCUGAUUAGAUAGUUGGUGGGGUAACGGCCUACCAAGUCGACGAUCAGUAGCCGGACUGAGAGGUUGAACGGCCACAUUGGGACUGAGAUACGGCCCAGACCCC